rnacentral:rRNA from 1 species
UACGGGGGGAGCAAGCGUUGUUCGGAUUUACUGGGCGUAAAGGGCGCGUAGGCGGCGCGGUAGGUCACUUGUGAAAUCUCUGAGCUUAACUCAGAACGGCCAAGUGAUACUGCAGUGCUAGAGUGUGGAAGGGGCAAUCGGAAUUCUUGGUGUAGCGGUGAAAUGCGUAGAUAUCAAGAGGAACACCUGAGGUGAAGACGGGUUGCUGGGCCAACACUGACGCUGAGGCGCGAAAGCCAGGGGAGCAAACGGG